AUUGAACGCUGGCGGCAGGCCUAACACAUGCCAGUCGAGCGGAUGAAGGGAGCUUGCUCCUGGAUUCAGCGGCGGACGGGUGAGUAAUGCCUAGGAAUCUGCCUGGUAGUGGGGGAUAACGUCCGGAAACGGGCGCUAAUACCGCAUACGUCCUGAGGGAGAAAGUGGGGGAUCUUCGGACCUCACGCUAUCAGAUGAGCCUAGGUCGGAUUAGCUAGUUGGUGGGGUAAAGGCUUACCAAGGCGACGUUCCGUAACUGGUCUGAGAGGAUGAUCAGUCACACUGGAACUGAGACACGGUCCAGACUCCUACGGGAGGCAGCAGUGGGGAAUAUUGGACAAUGGGCGAAAGCCUGAUCCAGCCAUGCCGCGUGUGUGAAGAAGGUCUUCGGAUUGUAAAGCACUUUAAGUUGGGAGGAAGGGCAGUAAGUUAAUACCUUGCUGUUUUGACGUUACCAACAGAAUAAGCACCGGCUAACUUCGUG
rnacentral:rRNA from 1 species